rnacentral:rRNA from 1 species
GGGGAGUAUUGGACAAUGGGGGCAACCCUGAUCCAGCAAUGCCGCGUGGGUGAUGAAGGCCUUCGGGUUGUAAAGCCCUUUCGGCGGGGACGAUGAUGACGGUACCCGCAGAAGAAGCCCCGGCUAACUUCGUGCCAGCAGCCGCGGUAAUACGAAGGGGGCUAGCGUUGUUCGGAAUGACUGGGCGUAAAGGGCGCGUAGGCGGCGAUGUAAGUCAGGCGUGAAAGCCCCGGGCUCAACCUGGGAACGGCGCUUGAUACUGCGUUGCUUGAGGACGGGAGAGGAUGGUGGAAUUCCCAGUGUAGAGGUGAAAUUCGUAGAUAUUGGGAAGAACACCGGUGGCGAAGGCGGCCAUCUGGACCGUUUCUGACGCUGAGGCGCGAAAGCGUGGGGAGCAAAC